AUUGAACGCUGGCGGCAGGCCUAAUACAUGCAAGUCGAACGGUAACAUAAGAAAGCUUGCUUCUUGAUGACGAGUGGCGGACGGGUGAGUAAUAUUUGGGAAGCUACCUGAUAGAGGGGGACAACAGUUGGAAACGACUGCUAAUACCGCAUAAGCCCACGGCUCGGCAUCGAGCAGAGGGAAAAGGAGCAAUCCGCUUUGAGAUGGCCUCGCGUCCGAUUAGCUAGUUGGUGAGGUAACGGCCCACCAAGGCGACGAUCGGUAGCCGGACUGAGAGGUUGAACGGCCACAUUGGGACUGAGACACGGCCCAGACUCCUACGGGAGGCAGCAGUGGGGAAUAUUGCACAAUGGGGGAAACCCUGAUGCAGCGACGCCGCGUGGAGGAAGAAGGUCUUCGGAUUGUAAACUCCUGUUGUUGGGGAAGAUGAUGACGGUACCCAACAAGGAAGUGACGGCUAACUACGUG
rnacentral:rRNA from 1 species